CCCCCCCCCCAGCGUUGCCAAAUUAUCGUAUUCACCACACAUUGUAUUGAUCCUCUAACUGUUGUACUUACGCAGAAAACGAUAGAAAAAUUAGUUAGUGUUAAAACUCUUAUUUAUUGGUCAGUUGUUUUUUGUAGCUAUCGGUCAGAAACUACGGAAAUACAAUGCGAUGAGUACGAUAAUUUGACAACGAUCGAUAAUUUGACAACGAUCGAUAAUUUGACGAAGAUCGAUAAUUUGACAACGAUCGAUAAUUUGACAACGCUGAUUUCCCCCCCUCCCCCCCUCCUCCCUCUCUCUUUUUGGCUUCUCAUUCAAUUAUCUUUACAGGACCAAUGCAUAGCGGGCUCUUGUUUUUGUGUUGUUUUGCCCUUGAGUCGCUUCAUCUGCUGUAAAAAUAAAAAUAAUAAUAAUAAUAAAGCAGUGUUUCUUAUUACCCAUUUCUGAACUAGGCAUCUUCGUUCUUAACUUAACCCCUUGACUGCGGAUUUCCUACAAGAAGACAUCACCAAGCUACAAGAAUGGAACAAAAAGUGGCUGCUACAAUUCAAUGGAGAAAAAUGUAAAGUCCUGCACCUUGGGAGGGGAAAUUCAGCAUACCAAUACCACAUGGGAAACACUCCACUAUCCACCACAGAGGCAGAGAAAGACCUGGGAGUAUAAUAUGUUACCAGGGUACCAGUGAAGGCCAAAUCCGUGCCGAUCGCAGCGAAGGGGUCUAUAAGAAGUAGUCUAGCAUCCCCCAAGACAGAAUUAGUUUGGGCACAGUACCGAGGUCACACGCAGUUAAAAGUAAGGUCAUGUAUGCAAGUGCUAAAAAUGGGAUAAGAGGAAUAAAAAGUAGUGUUUCUUAUAAUCUUUCCUGACCUAAGCAUCCUCGGUAGUCUAGCAUCCCUCAAGACAGAAUUAGUUUGGGCACAGUACCGAGGUCACACGCAGUUAAAAGUAAGGUCAUGUAUGCAAAUGCUAAAAAUGGGAUAAGAGGAAUGUAGGGCAGUGUUUCUUAUAAUCUUUCUUGACCUAAGGAUCCUCGAUCUUAGCUUAAGGUUGGAUUAGGUUAGGUAGGGUUAGGUUAGGUAAGGUAAGGUUGGGUUGGGUUAGAUAAGGUUAGAUUAGUUUAGUUUAGAUUAUUAGGUAAGGUUUGGUUAGGUUAGGUAAGGUUAGGUUAGUUUAGUUUAGAUCGUUAGGUAAGGUCUGGUUAGGUUAGGUAAGGUUAGGUUAGUUUAGUUUAGAUCGUUAGGUAAGGUCUGGUUAGGUUAGGUAAGGUUAGGUUAGUUUAGUUUAGAUCGUUAGGUAAGGUUAGGUUAGGUUAGGUAAGGUUAGGUUAGUUUAGUUUAGAUCGUUAGGUAAGGUCUGGUUAGGUUAGGUAAGGUUAGGUUAGUUUAGUUUAGAUCGUUAGGUAAGGUCUGGUUAGGUUAGGUAAGGUUAGGUUAGGUUAGGUUAGAUCGUUAGGUAAGGUUAGGUUAGGUUAGG